GCUCAGAGUAUAAGCCAAUGGAGCUUGGAAGGCUUCCGCAGAUGGUGUCCAUCAUACGUGGUGUUCUUAAGACCUUGAGUGUGGCUCGUCAGGCGAAGCAUUGAGUUUGCCGGGUAGCUGUCGUGCGGGGGGUUCGGCUUGGAGGUCUCAGGCUUCGGCCGAAGGGCUUCCGGUUGUCCCCUUUUGAAUGGGCGUUCAGAGCUCUUGUGUCUAAUGCGGUUAUGCCCACCACAGCACGUUGUGAGGUCACCCACAGGCUCAAACUGCCGAUCGCGCAUCCAGGACGAUGGCAACGAUGCGUUGUUGAUGAUGGCUCGAGAGAGACUUCACUCACACGCGUGUCUAGUCCUGGGUCGGGCGGCGACCGAGAUAAACCUGGUAUGAUCCUCUUGCGACGAGCUGCUUUCUGGCCAGACCGACGCCCAGGCACCUCCACUGUGCCGGAAGUGCCAAUCCCAGGCGGUGUGAACCCAGCUGCAUUAUGCAAGGUCUCUCAGCCGGGCGUUGGUCUGAGUGGUGUUAAGUCCAGCACCAUCGGUCACGUCUCGAAACACGGGCCAAGGAGUAUAGCAUGUGUGCAAGUCUAAGGGUCUCACAAAACCCGAAGGCGAAGUGAAAGCAAGACUGUGGCGGGGGAGCUACGGCAAACCCGCCGGCCUAGUGGCGCGUGCGUCGCCUGGCUUUUAGCAGAGCUGAUCCUGUUUUCUCGGUUAAUUCUUGGUGCAGGCGCAAGCUCCGGGCUCACGUACAACUCUGGUCACGCCUCGCG
rnacentral:rRNA from 1 species